rnacentral:tRNA from 1 species
GGGCCAUAGCUCAAUUGGGAGAGCGCAACACUGGCAGUGUUGAGGUCGGCGGUUCGAUCCCGCCUGGCUCCACCAU